rnacentral:rRNA from 1 species
UAUAACUAAUAUGAUCUGUUCAUCAGUAACAACGAAAAUAAGUCUUACUCUUUGUAAUGAUAAAGACUUGGUAACCAUGUCAAUCAAGUGUGGUUUGGUAAGUUUCCAUGAUAUGGAGUACAACCACUUCUACCGUCUAAAGUUUUUGUACCACCGCUUGUUUCCAAAUAUAACGUCCGCGGAGACUAAAGAAUUCAAGAAUUGUUAAACUACUAGCGAGCAAUGAUAAGAGUAGUAAUAAUAUCUAUUCUUACGUUCUGGGCACUCAAAAGAUGAUGGAGCUGCCAUUAAUUUUACUGUUCCUUUAUGUGCCCCUUCGUCUAUUGAACCUAGUAUACCACAGUGUUUAACACAACUGGUUACAUGAAACGUCGAGUCUGUUCCUGGAAAUAUACGUGUCGUGUUAAAACACUGUCAUCAGAAAAAUUCGUUUUACUGGGAUACUUGUAUGAAUAGUAAUCAAUAAAGGACCUUGAAAGAUAGGUCGAUUUGACCUCGUAGUCCAUCGAUAGUGUGUGUAGGAAAACUCUUGUUCUUGUGUAAAUAAAUAUACGAACAGAACAAAAGACAAGCACGAACGUCCUUUUAUCAGAUCGAUGAUCUCUAAACUCGACUUCGUAUUCGGAAAGGAGAACCUUAACUAAAUCUUGGGUUUCCUCCUCAAAGAUAGCAGUUACGAUCGACAUGUAAGUUUACGUAUACGAACAAACUCUUCUUCGUGUAGGGUAAUGAUAAUGUACCGUUUUAGCCGACGUACCGUUCCUCUUUCAGCGUUGAGACGGUACCUGAAUACACCGCUACCCUCAUCUCUCUACCGUUAAGUACGACCAUCACGAUAUUCCGGUGCGGUCCCAAACACUGUAACGACCCACGGUCAUACAAAGAUGGUAACCGGGAACAUUUAGGGAAAUCACUUUCCCAGCACCAAUAAUCUUAUCUCUAGCACGUAACGUGCACGUUCAAACCAUCUCUGCACGUAACGUGCACGUGUAAAUGAUCAUUUUAAUUUAAUAGAAUAUUUAGAUAAUACUCUCAGUGAAUACUUAACGGAUGGUUUCUACCGUUGUGUAUCUAAAUAGGAACGAAAAAUACGGAUCGAUCCCCGCAAUUUGCUAUCGCGAACAACCCUACGUUGGGUUAAAAUAAAAAAAGGAACGAAAAACGAUGACAAAUCAUUAUUUAUUAAAUGGAUCGGAGACAAAAUCAACACAAAAAACACAAAUUAAUCACAAACACGGUUUAUCUUGGCAACUCUUCUGAAUCCCUUUCAGAACAAUUUAGAACGACAUUUUUUAUCUUUGAAAUCGCGAGUGCUCUUGACGACAAUAAAAAUAAACCUUUCACUAUAAAUCAAUUAAAAAAAACGUCUACUAAUUAUCUAUUUAAUGAGUGCAGGUCUUUAAAUAAAAUCUUAAAAACCCCAAGGUCUAGAACGCGAUCGAUGUCUAAUGAUGUCUGACAAGACAAAAACUGUCUAAGACAAAAAGCACACAACAAACGAAUAAAACUACUUAGAUACCGAUCAUUUUAUCAAAUAUUUGGUAUCUCUUCAACCUUAUGUCAUCCAAAUUGUGGUUAUAUUUAUAUCUUACUCAAAUAAUGUCAUGGAACUUCACCAGAAAACAAAAGAAAGCGAUUGCCUCGAGUGCUCUAAAAGAUGGAAUUCAAAACACAACACUUCAAAAAUUCAAAACCCAUUUCUAAACUACCUGAUACCUUGUUCCUCACCGUUCUCGGAUUCAUACCCCUACGGGUGCCGUGAGGGUAUUUUAUUCCUGUGGAUUUUCAGUUUCGAACCCCUACGGGGCUUUCCGUAGGGGAGAAAGCAGAUGAAGAUAGCCAUUGAAAUGAACUUGAUAUAAAAAUAAGUGGUGUACUAUACACAAAACGAAGCUUGCAGAACAUAAUAAACUCAGAAAUAAACAAUCAAAUGGCGUUAGUAGUAACAACAUGUGUGGAAAUCUCUCUCGGUAUAUACUAAAUAUUAAACAAUGUUAUGAGAUACACGAAGCGAAUAUAGAAAACUCAAUAUAUCAAAACGAGAUCAUGAAGUGAAUAUAAAAAAUCUCGUGCUACCACCUAAACAAAAUAUCUUUGAUAACUGGAGAGUAAGAAGUGAAUCUAAUAAAACUCAGAAUUUAUAGUACCAUUAAAAGAAUUUAUUAGGUUAUACGAACCAUAAGUUCUUAUCAUUUUUGAAAGAAUAUUCCCACAACUUACGAUACUCUUCAAAC